rnacentral:rRNA from 1 species
UAGGGAAUCUUGCGCAAUGGGCGAAAGCCUGACGCAGCAACGCCGCGUGAGGGACGAAGGCCUUCGGGUUGUAAACCUCUUUCAGCAGGGAUGAAGCGAAAGUGACAGUACCUGCAGAAGAAGCACCGGCUAACUACGUGCCAGCAGCCGCGGUAAUACGUAGGGUGCAAGCGUUGUCCGGAAUUAUUGGGCGUAAAGAGCUCGUAGGCGGUCUGUCGCGUCGGAUGUGAAAACCCGGAGCUUAACGCC